rnacentral:hammerhead_ribozyme from 1 species
AUUCAGCUGACGAGUCUCAAAUAGAAGGAAACGCGCGUUCUAGAU